GGCCUUGUGGUCCAGUGGUUAAGACGCCUCUUUGACGUGGAAGCAACCCAGGUUCGAUUCCUGGCAGGGCCA
rnacentral:tRNA from 1 species